rnacentral:lncRNA from 1 species
CUCUCAUUAAGGUGCGUGAUAAUGAGUCCAAUAUUCCAAAUAAGCAUUGGAGGUGCCAUAUGUCUGGUAUCUAUUACGUAUUGAAAUUAUCAUUCAUCAUAUGACCAUCAUGAUGUACCUUUAAAUCAAUAUUUAAGUUGGUCGAGCCACCCUCGAGCCUGAACAUCCAAUUGUUGGAUGCACUUGGUGUUGUCAUGUUAAUGGUUGGACCUAAUCAGAAUUUUCAGUGGAGGCGCCACAUGCCUGCUGAAGGGGUGCUCAUGGCAAAAUCUAAUUACUAGAAGUUGUUUAGGAAAAAUAAUUAGUUAUGAACCUACCCAUGGAUGCAUUA